CCAAAAACAUAGCCCUUGGUUCAACUCAAAGGUGCAGCCUGCCCUAUGGUCUUCAAAACGUUUUGUAAUUAAAACCUAAACCAAGACUAAAUGGCCGCGGUAACUCUGACCGUGAUAAUGUAGCGAAAUCAAUCGUCGUUUAAUUGACGACCCGUAUGAAAGGUUAAACGAAUUUCCCCCUGUCUCGAAAAUAAACGCCAUCGAAAUUGUAUCAGCAGUGAAGAUACUGCUAUCAGAUUGCUAGACGAAAAGACCCUAUAGAGCUUAACUAUAUUCUCGAUCCACAAUGAAUUCUAUAAAAAUAGGAGUGCAUCGAGAGUGGUAGUUUGGUUGGGGCGACCUUCUUCUAUAACAAACGAAGAUAGACAAAGGCAUAUCGAUUUUCAAUAGCUUAAUUGUUUAAUCCAUAAAUUUAACAAAUACUAACGUAGGUAAAAAUGACCCGUUUUCCUUUAAAAAUCAAGAGAACGAUCAAUAAAUAAAAGCUACCUUAGGGAUAACAGCGUAAUCUUGUUCAAGAGUCCUUAUCGACGACAAGGUUU
rnacentral:rRNA from 1 species